AUUUUUCUCAUUUGAAAUUUCAUAAAUAAAAAAGAAAAUUUCUACAAACAUUUUUUUGAGAGGAUUAAUAUUCAACAGCAUAGUGAAUUGCUCUAAGAGAAAACAAAAAUUUUAAGUUCAUUAGAACACAUUCAUUCUGUGUCAGAAACCUAUGCUGUGUCAACUAUUUAAUCACAAUCCAAAUUUAGAGCUGAAUCCAGCUUGAAUGUUGUGUCCAUACUUGCCCCAACCGUUCAGGGUUCAACCUCUGCGGUUGUAUAAAGCUACGCCCUGCGGAGCAUCUGGUUUUUUAAGGUCUUGUUAUGAAAUUUCUUUUUUUUAUCGAAAUUCAAAAUAGUGUAAUCACAUUUUAAGCCACAAAGAAGAAAUUAUCAUUCUUUAGAAAACAAGAUUUUUACUAAUGUUGAAACUU
rnacentral:lncRNA from 1 species